rnacentral:rRNA from 1 species
GACGAACGCUGGCGGCGUGCCUAAUACAUGCAAGUGGGACGCAAGGGAACACACUGUGCUUGCACACCGUGUUUUCUUGAGUCGCGAACGGGUGAGUAACGCGUAGGUAACCUGCCUAUUAGCGGGGGAUAACUAUUGGAAACGAUAGCUAAUACCGCAUAAUAUUAAUUAUUGCAUGAUAAUUGAUUGAAAGAUGCAAGCGCAUCAUUAGUAGAUGGACCUGCGUUGUAUUAGCUAGUUGGUAAGGUAAGAGCUUACCAAGGCGACGAUACAUAGCCGACCUGAGAGGGUGAUCGGCCACACUGGGACUGAGACACGGCCCAGACUCCUACGGGAGGCAGCAGUAGGGAAUCUUCGGCAAUGGACGAAAGUCUGACCGAGCAACGCCGCGUGAGUGAAGAAGGUUUUCGGAUCGUAAAGCUCUGUUGUAAGUCAAG